UUUCUUUUGUCUGGCGACCGGCGCACGGGUGAGUAACACGUAUUCAACCUGCCCUUUACUCGGGGAUAGCCUUUCGAAAGAAAGAUUAAUACCCGAUAGCAUAAUGAUUCCGCAUGGUUUCAUUAUUAAAGGAUUCCGGUAAAGGAUGGGGAUGCGUUCCAUUAGGUUGUUGGUGAGGUAACGGCUCACCAAGCCUUCGAUGGAUAGGGGUUCUGAGAGAAAGGUCCCCCACAUUGGAACUGAGACACGGUCCAA
rnacentral:rRNA from 1 species